rnacentral:rRNA from 1 species
CCUACGGGGGGCAGCAGUGGGGAAUCUUCCGCAAUGGGCGAAAGCCUGACGGAGCAACGCCGCGUGAGUGAAGAAGGUCUUCGGAUUGUAAAGCUCUGUUGUCGGGGACGAAUGUUCCGACCUAGAACAUAGGUUAAAUGACGGUACCUGACGAGGAAGCCACGGCUAACUACGUGCCAGCAGCCGCGGUAAUACGUAGGGGGCAAGCGUUAUCCGGAUUUAUUGGGUGUAAAGGGUGCGUAGACGGGAAAUUAAGUUAGUUGUGAAAUCCCUCGGCUUAACUGAGGAACUGCAACUAAAACUGGUUUUCUUGAGUGCGGGAGAGGAAAGUGGAAUUCCUAGUGUAGCGGUGAAAUGCGUAGAUAUUAGGAGGAACACCAGUGGCGAAGGCGACUUUCUGGACUGUAACUGACGUUGAGGCACGAAAGUGUGGGGAGCAAACAGGAUUAGAUACCCUGGUAGUC